AGCGAACGCUGGCGGCGUGCCUAACACAUGCAAGUCGAACGUGAAAGGGAGCAAUCCCAAGUAAAGUGGCGUACGGGUGAGUAACACGUAGGUAAUCUACCCCAGAAUCUGGAAUAACCGGCCGAAAGGCUGGCUAAUACUGGAUAGAGCGACGGAAUCCGUAAUUGGGUUUUUCGGGAAAGGGAGCCUGUAAAAAGGCCUUCGUUCUGGGAUGAGCCUGCGUCCCAUCAGCUAGUUGGUGAGGUAAAAGCUUACCAAGGCAAUGACGGGUAGCUGGUCUGAGAGGACGAUCAGCCACACUGGAACUGAAACACGGCCCAGACUCCUACGGGAGGCAGCAGUGGGGAAUCUUGCGCAAUGGACGAAAGUCUGACGCAGCAACGCCGCGUGAGUGAAGAAGGCCUUCGGGUUGUAAAGCUCUGUCGAGUGGGACGAAAAUGCUUGGAGUUCACAGCUCCAGGAACUGACGGUACCACUAAAGGAAGCACCGGCUAACUCCGUG
rnacentral:rRNA from 1 species